rnacentral:rRNA from 1 species
UACGAAGGGGGCUAGCGUUGUUCGGAUUUACUGGGCGUAAAGCGCACGUAGGCGGAUUGUUAAGUCAGGGGGUGAAAUCCCAGAGCUCAACUCUGGAACUGCCUUUGAUACUGGCAAUCUCGAGUCCGGAAGAGGUGAGUGGAACUCCUAGUGUAGAGGUGGAAUUCGUAGAUAUUAGGAAGAACACCAGUGGGCGAAGGCGGCUCACUGGUCCGGAACUGACGCUGAGGUGCGAAAGCGUGGGGAGCAAACAGG